UACGGAGGAUGCAAGCGUUAUCCGGAUUUAUUGGGUUUAAAGGGUGCGCAGGUUGUUUGAUAAGUCAGUGGUGAAAGUCCGUCGCUUAACGGUAGGAUUGCCAUUGAUACUGUUGGACUUGAAUAUGGAUGAGGUAGGCGGAAUGUGUAGUGUAGCGGUGAAAUGCAUAGAUAUUACACAGAACACCUAUUGCGAAGGCAGCUUACUAAUCCAUCAUUGACGCUGAGGCACGAAAGCGUGGGGAUCAAACAGGA
rnacentral:rRNA from 1 species